AAGUCGUAACAAGGUCUCCGUAGGUGAACCUGCGGAGGGAUCAUUAACACAACAAGUGGCACUGCUGGGGGUUUCGCCCUCUGCUGCGGUGCAACACUGUUAACACCCAUCUACCGUGAACUACUAUGACCCUUUUUUGUCUCUACUCAGCCUUGUGCUGUGUAGUGACUUUUCAUUUUUGACAUGAAACCCUUUCCAAUGUUAAUUUAUAAUUGUAACUGUUUCACGUUGGUGUGUUAGUCUCUGGACUCUCGCUCCGUAUGUGUUGAACUAUUACGAACUAUUAUUGAGUACAACUCUUAGCAACGGAUAUCUUGGUUCUC
rnacentral:misc_RNA from 1 species